UGGGGAAUAUUGGACAAUGGGGGCAACCCUGAUCCAGCGAUGCCGCGUGUGUGAAGAAGGCCUGCGGGUUGUAAAGCACUUUAAUUGGGGAGGAGAGUAGGUGUAUGAAUAAUGCACUUAUGAGACGUUACCCAAAGAAUAAGCACCGGCAAACUCUGUGCCAGCAGCCGCGGUAAUACAGAGGGUGCAAGCGUUAAUCGGAGUUACUGGGCGUAAAGGGCACGUAGGCGGUCAAAUAAGUCAGUUGUGAAAUCCCUGGGCUUAACCUGGGAACUGCAAUUGAGACUGUGUGACUAGAGUCGAAGAGAGGGAAGCGGAAUUUCCGGUGUAGCGGUGAAAUGCGUAGAUAUCGGAAGAACACCCGUGGCGAAGGCGGCUUCCUGGCUUCAGACUGACGCUGAGGUGCGAAAGCGUGGGUAGCGAACAGGAUUAGAUACCCUGGUAGUCCCUGAGCGGGCUGGCAAGGCGCAU
rnacentral:rRNA from 1 species